GCUACGGCAUCAGUAAUGAUGGGUAGGGGAGCUUCCCAUACGGGUUGAAGCAUGACCGUAAGGACAUGUGGACAGUAUGGGAGUGAGAAUGUUGGCAUGAGUAGCGAGAUGUGGGUGGGAAUCCCACAGGCCGUAAACCCAAGGUUUCCAGGGGAAGGGUCGUCCGCCCUGGGUUAGUCGGGACCUAAGCUGAGGCCGAAAGGCGUAGGUGAUGGACAACAGGUUGAUAUUCCUGUACUACCGAUAACCGUUUGAGAGAAGGGAUGACACAGUAGGAUAAGCUAAGCACACUGUUGGUUAUGUGUGCCCAAGCAUUGAGGCAGUCAAAGUAGGUAAAUCCGCUUUGAUAAUGCUGGGAUGUGAUGGGGAGCGAAAUUUAGUAGCGAAGUAGCUGAUUUCACACUGUCAAGAAAAGUCUCUAUCGAGGUUAAAGGUACCCGUACCGCAAACCGACACAGGUG
rnacentral:rRNA from 1 species